rnacentral:sRNA from 1 species
UCAGGCCUGUAACUUGCGCCCUAGCUAGGAAGCAAGCUUUUUUUAUACUCUCCCGUUCGUAGUAUCUCUGUAGUUCUUCGUCCUGUAGUUUCUAAAUAUCAGUCUUUAUUUCAGCUACCUCGCCUUUUUAUAGGCACCCGUUUAUUUUUUUGCAGGAUCUUAUUAUGUCUAACAAAGUCACUGGCACCGUAAAAUGGUUCAACGAAUCUAAAGGUUUUGGUUUUAUUUCUCAGCCUUCCGGUCCUGACGUUUUCGCCCAUUUCAGCGCUAUUGAAAGCUCUGGCUUCAAAACCCUUACUGAAGGCCAGCAAGUGGAAUUCACCGUUACCGACGGUCAGAAAGGCCCACAAGCGCAAAACAUCGUUGCCCUAUAAGCUAAGCGGCAAAACGAAUCUUAAAAAGCUGGCCUAUGUUGCCAGCUUUUUUGUU